rnacentral:lncRNA from 1 species
UUGUGAUGACCUAAGUCUCUUAUUGGUACAAGAUUUAAUAUAUAGAAAUGUUAUUUAAACACAAUUUUAAGUACAAAUAUAAACACAUAUAGUGUAUACAUAUACAUACUUAAAUAUAUGUACAUAUUUAAGGAAUAUUUUAAUAAUAUUAUAUUCUCUCUCCAUUAAUAUACUCCUAUCACUCUCUCUUCAUUAAUUACUAAUAAAAUCAAAUUAAAAAACAAACACCACAUUCUCUCUCUUUCUUUUCAUCUUUAUGGAUCUUCUUCCUCUCUCAUUCUCUCUUCUCUCUCUUCCUUUUGGAUCAACAAGUUAACUCUUGUGUUGACCUAGAUUUUGUUUUUCAGAUGUAUUUCUUACACAUGACUCUCCAAAUCUACACUUUUUAGAUAGGUAUAGAAAUUAAGCUUCAUCAUUGUUAUUGUUAUUGAUAGGUCUAAGACAUUUCAUAUUUUGUUAUUAAUGGUGUGCUAAUUAUGGGUCUUUCUAAGUUUGUUUCUCGUUAACGGUGUAAAUAUUAUUGGUUAAUGACGUACAAAUAGUGGUUAAUGAAUUAUUUCUGUCUAUAGGAAGAAGGAGAAAUUAUGGAAGAAAGGAAGAAGGAGAAACUAUGGAAGAAAGGAAAGAUGACUGUGUGAUGUUUAUUUUUGUUAUUAAUGGUGUGCUAAUUAUGGAUCUUUCUGAGUUUGCGUUUUGAUUAAUAGUGUAAAUAUUAUUGAUUAACGACAUACAAAUAGUGGUUAAUGAAUUAUUUCUGUCUAAAGGAAGAAGGAGAAAUUAUAGAAGAAAGAAAGAAUGAGAAAUUAUGGAAGAAAGGAAAGAUUAAUUUGAGGUUUAUUUUUGUUAUUAAUGGAAGAAAGGAAAGAUUAUUGAUUAACGGGUCUUUCUGAGUUUGUUUCUGGUUAAUAGUGUAAAUAUUAUUGGUUAACGACGUACAAAUAGUGGUUAAUGAAUUAUUUCUGUCUAAAGGAAGAAGGAGAAAUUAUGGAAGAAAGGAAAGAUGAAUGUGUGAUGUUUAUUUUUGUAGAGGAAGACAAAAAAAAGUGAAAAAAGAUAAAUAAAAAAAGAGAAUAUAAAAAAAAAAUUAAAUGAAGAGAGAGAUUAUGUGGGAGUCACAUGUAUUUAUAUUUAAAAUUGUGUUCAAAUAUCAUUCUCCUCUCCCUAUAAUAUGGUUGGAUAUCCAUAUAAUCCAAUUAAAACGGAGAUGUCUCUAUUCUUCAUAUAAUCUUCCCAAAGUAAAUAUUUCUCAACAUUUAUAUAAUCAUCUAAUGAGAAAAAAUGUCUCACCUCUUCACAAUUUUAUCUGGGAUAUAGAAGUUUCUUUUUUGAAUUAUAUAGAAGUGCCUUUCAUUCAUGCCUGAAUAUAACUUAGUUACCAUUAAUUGUAACACCUCUCAAAUACUCGGUAACAAUUAUUCACUUCUUGAAUUGUAUCUCCUAAAUUUUCAUCAAUUGCAUUUAUUUGGAAUUUUAAACUGAUUUCCAAUAGUUCCGGC